GGUGGAGCAUGUGGUUUAAUUCGAAGCAACGCGAAGAACCUUACCAGGUCUUGACAUCCUUUGACCACUCUAGAGAUAGAGCUUUCCCUUCGGGGACAAAGUGACAGGUGGUGCAUGGUUGUCGUCAGCUCGUGUCGUGAGAUGUUGGGUUAAGUCCCGCAACGAGCGCAACCCUUAUUACUAGUUGCCAGCAUUUAGUUGGGCACUCUAGUGAGACUGCCGGUGACAAACCGGAGGAAGGUGGGGAUGACGUCAAAUCAUCAUGCCCCUUAUGACCUGGGCUACACACGUGCUACAAUGGAUGGUACAACGAGUCGCAAGGUCGCGAGGCCAAGCUAAUCUCUUAAAGCCAUUCUCAGUUCGGAUUGUAGGCUGCAACUCGCCUACANGAAGCCNGAANCGC
rnacentral:rRNA from 1 species